CGGCGUCCCAGGCGGGGCGCUGCGGGACCGCCCUCGUGUCUGUGGCGGUGGGAUCCCGUGGCCG
rnacentral:miRNA from 10 species